CUGCAGUCAAACAUGUUCUGCUGCUGACCCUCCCUGACCCUGCAGCUCCAUCAGGACACACCCAGCCUGCAGACACAUUUCAUCCUUCUCUCCGAGCAGCGUCACAUUUCAAACCCCGUCUGAGCGUCUGCAGCAGCGUUUGUUGUCUCUGGUUGUUUUGGGAGAAUCCAGACAUUAAGACUCCUCUCAUGUUUGAAAAACAUUCAAAUCAAUGAUUUCAUCAGUUUUGUUUUCUGUGAGGCGGCGGCAGCAGCAGCGUGCGGGUGCAGACGGCGAGGACGGUGUCAGAUGGAGGUCCAGAUCCUGUCUGUAUUUUUAGCGUUCAGAGCGGAGCCAGGAGGUGUCGGGUUUCACAACGUGGGCACAUUACGCCUCACUGAGGUGGCUUGUCAGCUUGGAGCAGAAUUCAGGACCAUGAUGCUUUGCAGCAGACACUAAACACUAAACACCUCUGACACCCACUCAGAGGAUUAACAAACAUCACACACGUCAUGUAGCGUUUAAAUUUACGAUGAUAUCUGAAAUGUUUGAGAUAAAAACAACAAACUGAA